UAGGGAAUAUUGGACAAUGGGGGCAACCCUGAUCCAGCCAUGCCGCGUGAGUGAAGAAGGCCCUCGGGUUGUAAAGCUCUUUUGUCCGGAAAGAAAAGCAUUCGGUGAAUACCCGGAUGUUCUGACGGUACCGGAAGAAUAAGCACCGGCUAACUUCGUGCCAGCAGCCGCGGUAAUACGAAGGGUGCAAGCGUUACUCGGAAUUACUGGGCGUAAAGCGUGCGUAGGUGGUUGUUUAAGUCUGAUGUGAAAGCCCUGGGCUCAACCUGGGAAUGGCAUUGGAAACUGGGCAGCUAGAGUGCGGUAGAGGGUAGUGGAAUUCCCGGUGUAGCAGUGAAAUGCGUAGAGAUCGGGAGGAACAUCUGUGGCGAAGGCGACUGCCUGGACCAGCACUGACACUGAGGCACGAAAGCAUGGGGAGCAAACA
rnacentral:rRNA from 1 species